rnacentral:rRNA from 1 species
AUUGAACGCUGGCGGAAUGCUUUACACAUGCAAGUCGAACGGCAGCACGGACUUCGGUCUGGUGGCGAGUGGCGAACGGGUGAGUAAUGUAUCGGAACGUGCCCAGUCGUGGGGGAUAACGUAGUGAAAAUUACGCUAAUACCGCAUACGAUCUAUGGAUGAAAGCGGGGGAUCGCAAGACCUCGCGCGAUUGGAGCGGUCGAUAUCAGAUUAGGUAGUUGGUGGGGUAAAGGCCCACCAAGCCAACGAUCUGUAGCUGGUCUGAGAGGACGACCAGCCACACUGGAACUGAGACACGGUCCAGACUCCAACGGGAGGCAGCAGUGGGGAAUUUUGGACAAUGGGCGAAAGCCUGAUCCAGCCAUUCCGCGUGCAGGAUGAAGGCCCUCGGGUUGUAAACUGCUUUUGUACAGAACGAAAAGGUUUCUACUAAUACUAGGAGCUCAUGACGGUACUGUAAGAAUAAGCACCGGCUAACUACGUGCCAGCAGCCGCAGUAA